CAGCCGCCGCGGGAAUACGUGGGGUGCAAGCGUUAAUCGGAAUUACUGGGCGUAAAGCGUGCGCAGGCGGUUUGUUAAGACAGAUGUGAAAUCCCCGGGCUCAACCUGAGAACUGCAUUUGUGACUGGCAAGCUAGAGUAUGGCAGAGGGGGGUGGAAUUCCGCGUGUAGCAGUGAAAUGCGUAGAUAUGCGGAGGAACACCGAUGGCGAAGGCAGCCCCCUGGGCCAAUACUGACGCUCAUGCACGAAAGCGUGAGGAGCAAACAGGAUUAGAUACCCCUGUAGUCCCUGUCUCUUAUAC
rnacentral:rRNA from 1 species